rnacentral:lncRNA from 1 species
AUGUUCUUUUUGAUAGUAGUAUUUUUCCUCCUCUACCUUCCACUUCUCAUGGCAAAUUUCAUUGAUCCCAGGUGCUUUUGGAGAAUAAAUCUGAAUGACAUUAAGGAAAAAGAUUUGGAUAUGAGUUGUGCCUUCGUCCUUGGAGCAGUUCAGUUACCUAUGGAGAGAGAUUAUUUCAAUCAGACUUUGAAUGUCCUAAAAACAACAAAAACCAACAAAUAUGUCUUGGCAUUAGCCUUUUCAAUGGAUGAAAUCAACAGGAAUCCUGAUCUUUUACCAAAUAUGUCUUUGGUUAUAAAACAUACUUUGAGCUAUUGUGAUGGAAACACUGCACCCCAUAUAUUUAAAGAAAAAAUUUUUAGGCCUUUACCUAAUUAUAUCUGUAAUGAAGAGACUAUGUGUUCAUUUCUGCUUAUAGGACUGAAUUGGAUGUCAUCUAUAUCACUUUUUAAAGACUUGGAUAUCUUCUUAUUUCCACGUUUCCUUCAGAUUUCCUAUGGACCUUUCCAUUCCAUCUUCAGUGAUAAUGAACAAUUUCCAUAUGUCUAUCAGAUGACCCCAAAGGACACAUUACUACCCUUGGCAAUGGUCUCCAUCAUACAUUACUUCAACUGGAACUGGGUUGGCCUUGUCAUCUCAGAUAAUGAUGAAGGCAAUCAAUUUCUCUCAGAGUUGAAAAAAGAGACCCAAACCAAGGAAAUUUGCUUUGCCUUUGUAACCAUGAUGACAAUCAAUGACCUUUCAUCCUAUCAUAAAACAGAGAUGUACUACAAUGAAAUUGUGAUGUCAUCAACAAAUGUUAUUAUCAUUUAUGGGGAAACAGAUAGUAUUAUUGAAUUGAGCUUCAGAAUGUGGAAAUCUCCAGUUAUACAGAGGAUUUGGAUCACCAAAUCAGAGUUGGAUUUCCCCACAAGUAACGGAGACUUAAGUCAUGACAUAUUCUAUGGGACUCUCACAUUUUUACACCACCAUGGUGAGAUUUCUGGAUUUAAAAAUUUUGUAGAGACACGGUACCAUCUCAAAAGCAGAGAUUUAAAUCUGUUAAUACCAGAAUGGAAUUACUUUAACUAUGAAGCCUCAGCAUCUAACUGUAAAAUACUGAGGAACUAUUCAUCCAAUUCCUCAUUGGAAUGGCUAACAGAACAGAAGUUUCAGAUGGCCUUUAAUGAUGAGAGUAAUAGCAUAUACAAUGCUGUGUAUGCCAUGGCCCAUGCUCUCCAUGAGAAAAAUCUGCAAGAGGUUGAUAAUCAGGAAAUAAAAAAUGGGAAAAGAACAAGUACUCACUGCUUGAAGUUAAACUCCUUUCUCAGAAAGACUCACUUUACUAAUCCUCUUGGGGACAAAGUGAUUAUGAAACAGAGAGAGAGAGUGCAGGAAGACUAUGACAUUGUUCACAUUCAGAAUUUCUCACAACGCCUUCGGAUUAAAGUGAAGAUAGGAAAGUUCAGCCCAUAUUUUCCACAUGGUGGACGCUUUCACUUAUAUGAAGAAAUGAUUGAGUUGGCCACAGGAAGUAGAAAGAUAUGGAUCAGUGUGUGAAUUGUCCAGAAUACCAGUAUGCCAACAAAGAAAAGAACAAAUGCAUUCAGAAAGGUGUGAUUUUUCUAAGCUAUGAAGACCCAUUGGGGAUGGUUCUUGCCUUAAUAGCCUUCUGUUUGUCUGUCUUCACAGCUGUGGUAUUUUGUGUCUUUGUGAAGAACCAUGACACUCCUAUUGUGAAAGCCAAUAACAGAAUCCUCAGCUACCUAUUAGUCAUGUCACUCAUGUUCUGUUUUCUGUGCUCCUUUUUCUUCAUUGGCCAUCCUAACAAUGCUACCUGUAUCUUACAGCAAAUCACAUUUGGAAUUACCUUCACUGUGGCUGUUUCCACAGUUCUGGCCAAAACAAUAACUGUGGUUCUGGCUUUCAAAAUCACAGACCCAGGAAGAAUGUUAAGAAACUUCCUGGUAUUGGGGGCACCUAACUACAUUAUUCCCAUAUGUUCCUUAUUGCAAUGUAUUCUGUGUGCAAUUUGGCUAGCAGUUUCUCCUCCCUUUGUUGAUAUUGACAAACAUUCUGAGCAUGGCCACAUCAUAAUCGUGUGCAACAAGGGCUCUGUUAUGGCGUUCUACUGUGUCCUAGGAUACUUGGCCUGCUUGGCCCUUGGAAGCUUCACUAUGGCUUUCUUGGCAAAAAAUCUGCCUGACACAUUCAAUGAAGCCAAAUACUUAACCUUCAGCAUUCUAGUGUUCUUCAGUGUCUGGGUAACCUUUCUUCCUGUGUACCAUAGCACCAAGGGCAGAGUCAUGGUUGCUGUGGAGAUCUUCUCCAUCUUGUCAUCCAGUGCAGGGAUGCUUGGAUGCAUAUUUACACCCAAAAUCUACAUCAUUUUAGUGAAACCAGAGAGAAAUUCUAUCCAAAGGAUCAGGGAGAAAUCAUAUUUCUGA